GUCACUUUUUUUCCCUUGUAGAAAUAGUCUCUACCUUUUAAAAAAAUACAAAUCUAUGGAAACAUGAGUCACUGGCAUUCUGAGAAAGCAACUCUUCUUUUAAAUGCUCCAUCAUUUUCAGAUGAGCUUCCUGGUACAAUGGCCACCCUUUCUCUGGUGAACGAGGCACAGUAUCUGCUGAUCAACACAUCUAGUAUUUUGGAACUUCAUCAGCAACUAAACACCAGUGAUGAGAAUGGAAAGGAGGAAUUAUUCUCAGUGAAGGAUCUCAGCUUGCGUUUUCGUGCCAAUAUUAUUGUCAAUGGAAAAAGGGCUUUUGAAGAAGAGAAAUGGGAUGAGAUUUCAAUUGGCUCUUUGCGUUUCCAGGUUUUGGGGCCUUGUCACAGAUGCCAGAUGAUUUGCAUCGACCAGCAAACUGGGCAACGAAACCAG
rnacentral:sRNA from 1 species